rnacentral:rRNA from 1 species
CUUAGUGGCGGACGGGUGAGUAACGCGUGGGCAACCUGCCCCGUGCCGGGGGAUACCGCCUGGAAACAGGCGCUAAUACCGCAUAAGCGCAUACAGCCGCAUGGCAGUAUGCGGAAAGCUCCGGCGGCACGGGAUGGGCCCGCGCCCGAUUAGCCAGUUGGCGGGGUAACGGCCCACCAAAGCGACGAUCGGUAGCCGGCCUGAGAGGGCGGACGGCCACAUUGGGACUGAGACACGGCCAAACUCCUACGGGAGGCAGCAG